UAUAAGUUCCUUUCCCUUGACUGCAGAUAGUCCCUUCCUUGCCUCAGCUGCCUCAGUUGAUUAAGUAGGAUAAAGAAAUGAAUCAUCAAAACAGAAGAACAGAAACUGCUUCCCAAGUGUUCUGAAUAGUGGAAAGGAGAAGGAAUCACAAUGAAGCAAGCAAACAUAACUAAGUAUAAUGAAAUGAACCACACGGCCGGUCUACUCUAGAUUCAUCCCUAGACUUCUAUAUCCUUUCUCUAAUUAUGCUUCCCAGGUAUAUCAAUAAUUGAGUUUGAUGUGACUGACAUUCUGGAAAAAAUGUAACAAGAUACCACAAGACUUUACAGGGUUUUUAAAAAAUAUUAACAUUUAGCAUCUCUUGAGAAUCUACUGGUCCAAUACAUGAUUCUUCUGACUUCCUGGGGAAUCUCUCAUCACUGAAAUCAGCUGGUAGGAAUGUCUCACUCAUUGCAGUCAGCUGGUUGGGAACAUUAAUUUCUCGACAGUCACCUGGUGGGUUUUUGAGAGUCUGGGCCGUUUAGGAUGCUUCCAGCUGGAAUGGUGUAGACUCUCUCUAUCUCUGAUCAUUCAUUGCAAAAGGCUAAUAUGGAUAUGUUCUCCGCCUGCAAAGUAACCAGGGCACAAAGGUCUGGACUUGGAGCAUAUUUCCUGGCACAUGCUUGAUUGGGGAACCACUCUGUAAUCCAGAUUCAUCAUGAGAAGAGAACAUAAAGUUACAAAAUAUGAAGACUUCAAGGAUUACCAUAAUAUGGACCAUGAAUUCAACAAGAGAAGCUAUGUUUAAGAAUGCCAUGUGUAGAAAACAUUACCUUGAGCUCUUGGUCAGAGAUCUCGUGAAGACUUCCAGAAUGCAGGCCGCUGUCAUUAUCCUUGGAUACCUGCCAGAACCUGAUGGUCGUUAACCUACUUCUAGAUACCAUAUACAUUGGCUGCAGGACAUGGAAAAGUCAGAGAAAUCUGUGUCAGAGACCUGAGGACCUGAGAGGACAGCAUCAGUUCAAAAUCUGGGAACUGUCCCAAGCUUGUGUGUUAGGAUGCAAAUUAAUUUGAGCCUUGUUUCCCCUGUUCUUGCCACUGGGAGCACAUUGGGUGGGAAGGUUAAUUCAGUGCAGCCUUAUCUCCCAUGGGCACUGCUGGGGAGCCUUGGAAUCAUUUUGUUUCUCAUCUCUGAAAAUGGAAUGUGCUUUGCCACACUGAUGAGAAGGGGAAAAAAGAGGUCGAUCUGGAAAGAUUAGGAUGCCUACCAAGGCUCCCUGAGCUGUGAGGGGUUAUUAAGAAUCCUGGAAGUAAGAGGCUACAGUUAGUUUUAGUUCUGAGUAGACAUGGUCUGUAUGGAUUUCUGUGCAGCUGUAGGAUAUUGUUGAAGCCCCCUUCCAUGACUACUAUUUCCAAAGAGAGAAUAUCCACACAUGAGCAUAUAUGUGAUACCGGAGACCACCAAGAUGCAGUUCAGUCAAAAGGAAAUAAAAUGCAUACACUGUUCAAGCA